rnacentral:rRNA from 1 species
GACGAACGCUGGCGGCGUGCUUAACACAUGCAAGUCGAACGGGCUGCCUGGUUUUCGGAUCGGGUGGUGAGUGGCGAACGGGUGAGUAACACGUGAGUAACCUGCCCCUCUCUUUGGGAUAACGUCGGGAAAUCGGCGCUAAUACCGGGUAUUCUGGCUUCCUCGCAUGGGGUUGUUGGGAAAGGUUUUUUCUGGUGGGGGAUGGGCUCGCGGCCUAUCAGCUUGUUGGUGGGGUGAUGGCCUACCAAGGCGGUGACGGGUAGCCGGCCUGAGAGGGUGUCCGGCCACACUGGGACUGAGACACGGCCCAGACUCCUACGGGAGGCAGCAGUGGGGAAUAUUGCACAAUGGGCGGAAGCCUGAUGCAGCGACGCCGCGUGGGGGAUGACGGCCUUCGGGUUGUAAACCUCUUUCAGUGCAGAACAAGGCUCUUUGUGGGUUGAGGGUAUGCGCAGAAGAAGCGCCGGCUAACUACG